GUCCUCUCCCUGACCGAUCUCCCAAACCAAACCGGGACCGGGCGGCAUCCUCCGUCUCGUACUGACCCCCGCACCGCCAAACCCUAGUCCACAGCGGUGAGGCGACCUUGCGACCUCCGUUCCUCUGCGCUCCGGCUGAGUUGCUGAUUUGGGAUAAUCAUGUUCUCUCUGAGUGAAUGAACAUGUCUGGGAAUGAUGAUAAGCCACAUGCUGCUGCAAACAGAAUAAAGGCAGCCACGUUAUCAGUGACUAAGGGAUUGAGCAGGGCUCAAGCUGAAUGGGCUGCGACUGCUGCUACCCGCAAUGUGAAUGCCUAUGGGCAGAAGGAAGAGGGACCAAGCCGCUGGCAGGAGAGGAAGAAAGCCAAGAGUCAGAUGUAUCUGAUGAGUACAGAGAAGGUUGCGAAGCUGGGCACUGUGAAGCAAAAAGCUUCAGAAACUUCUUCUGUUGGCGCAUAUACCCAAUGCCAUAAGUGUUUCCAGCAUGGUCACUGGACAUAUGAGUGCAAAAAGAGCGGGUGUACAUAUCACGGCCCUCAAGAACGUAGCAGCUUAAGAACCCCAAGAUGAAGAAAUGCGUACCUGUUUCUUAUCGAUUUGAGAAUCCUGAUGGUGAUCGACGAUUGUGAGCUUCCAUGUUAUGUGUUGUGAUACUUGAGACUUUUAUUAUGACUACAUAUGAGAUAUUGUCUAUUAUUAUGACUGGAUGAGAUGUGUCUUAUUAUGACUAUGGAUGAGACUUUUGUGAUGUAAUUGAUGAGACUAUGAAUUUCAA